CAAGACAAAUUCAUGUUUUAGUACGUUUGAUAAUCUACUGUGAGUUUUUCCCUUUUAAUUUUCUCUUUAUGCUUCAGAUAUCUUAAAAAUAAAUAUUCGGCACAUGUUUGGUAGAUCAUUAUGUUAAGAUGAUAUUCUGUGAUUCCUGGAUUUUAUUAAAAGUUAUAUGCUAAGCGUUUUCUUUAUCUACAUAUAUGUUGUCUACGUCAUGUUCAGGACUCAUUUUCGUUUAGAAAAUCAUGUUUACUGAAAGUUUUGUUCUGCUCAUAGGCUAGUCAAAUGACUUGUUUAUAGAUACCAUACUACAACAACAACCCGUAUAAUCCCACUUAAUAAGGUCUAAAAGGGUAGUGUGUAUGCAGACCUUACCCAUACCCUUGGGUAGAGAGGCUGUUUCCAAAUAGACUCCGGCAUCCUUCCGUUCAAGAACUUCCCAUCUUGCUCUUGGGGAGACUCGAACUCACAACCUCUCGAUUAGAAGUGGGGAGACUCGAACUCACAACCUCUCGAUUAGAAGUGGGGGUUGCUUACCAUCAGAGCAACCCUUCUUCUCUAUAGAUACCAUAUUACAUGUCCCAAUAUUUAGCAAAGAGUUUUUAAGAGACCAUUCUUUUGACAGAGUUCAUGUCCAAUUACCACAAGUAUGCGAAAUCCUUUAUGCCAAAAUACUGUUUUGUUUUUCGUCUUUUAAAGAGUAUGAUAAUUUCGUGAUAAUCUAAAUAUUAUACGUAGGUUUUCUUUGAAUAAUAAUAGAUUUCAAAAACAGUAGAUCAUUGGCUUCGAAUAAUAUAAAAUGCUCUGUAGUUUAUUAUUCGGAUUCAUUGAACCGUAGAGAAGUGUGCCUAUAGUUUUGAACUAAUUAGUAACUCAUUCUUUGAUCUUGAACUAUGGAAAUAGUCUAAUAUUUAUCACUAAGUGCUGAAUGGAUAUUGUUGGGUUGUUAACAUAUUAUUAGUUUGUAUCUUUCAUCGUAAUCACGACUACAAAACGAGUUGCUGUCCUAUUUGAUAACUUUGUUGUUUUAACAUGAAUAUGCAUCUGAUAUUUAGCAUAGCACAUCAAAAAUUCUAUCUUUAGGAAGACAACCCAUAUUUGUCGUUGGUUUAUCUGCUGGCCGUCCACUAGUACGGCAAGUUGUCUAGGCAUAGCAUGUUCCAAAUUCACAUGUUGCUAAGUGCUAAACUUAAAGUAGCGAGAAAAAGAUUGGAGACAAUUGUGGACUAUAAUAGGGAUGUAUUUUGGGAGUUUGUAUUGAAAAGAGAUAGGCAAUUUGUUGAAUCCGAGGAACCUAAAUGGAUAUACAUUCAUAAAAGUCAGUCACCUGUUAAAUGUAUUCUUGGCGAAAUGUUUUAUUUUUCUUUGGCUAUUACUCUUUCUCGUUUUGCUAACUCUUGGAAUCUGGAUCAAACCCACCAUGUGUGUUAAGGCUCAAAUUGAAUGGUCAUUCCAAACUAAUAUGGCAUACGAGAAAGUGCUUAGAUACAAAAAAUCAGAAGCUCCCAAAAGUUGAGAGAGAUCUCAUAAGAUAAUAGUCAUAAAUUGGGAAAAUGACUUAAGGGACAGUGGCAUAAGAUUAUCCUCAACUUAAGGCGCACCUACUCUUACUAGAAGUCUAGUGUCUCUCAGGUCCAGUUUCGAUCUCUUUGUGCUCGUGUUGCAUAUUAUUUGGAAUCUUUGUGUGAAAUUUGUGCCUACUAUGGGAAAAUAUGUGAGACAAUUAGGAUUUCUGAGUUAUGCGCAUGUGAUAUAUAUGUACGAUGGAUCGUCCGGCGUGAUUCUUUACUUUAAAGUGUGAGCAUUCUAUUUUAGUAUGUUGAUUAAACUCUUAAAG
rnacentral:lncRNA from 1 species